AUGAAGUCAGAGCUGCUUCCACUGCCACUAAACCGAGCUGGUGUUCCUGAUUCACAUCUGAGUCCUGCAGUGUUGAACUCACAGGACUAUAAACCUUCUCAGUUCACUGGAGGAUCAGCUGACCAUGCAAAGCCUCCUCUCUAUGGAAAUGAUUUCUCUGCUCUCAACAGACUGAAGGCAACGACUUUUGGUGGAGGAACCAAACUCACCGUUGACUUGGGUGUGGUGCGGCCCACCCUGACCGUCCUCCCCCCCUCCAAAGAGGAGGUGCAGCAGGGCAGUGCCACACUGCUGUGUCUGGCCAGCGGGGGCUCUCCCUCAACCUGGAGGCUGGACUGGAAGGUGGGGGGCAGCAGCAGCAGCUCCUCAGAGGUGUCACACAGCCCGGAGGUCCUGGGGAGGGACGGCCACUACAGCUGGAGCAGCACCCUGAGCCUCUCUGCAGACCGCUGGAGGAAGGCGGGCUCAGUGAGCUGUGAGGCCAGUCUGAAUGGACAGACCCCUGUCACUCAAAGCCUGGACCCUGACCGCUGCUCAGAGUAGAGCUUCAGCAACACUUCCUGUCUGGAAAUGAUGCUUCUUUUUCUUUGCUCCAGAUCUUGAUGAAGCUACAGAUCUUCUCUGUUCAGCUGUUUUAAUGUGCAUGUUGCUUUCUAACACUGAUCUUCUUCAUAUUCUGCUUUAUGUUCAUUACUUUUCAAAUGAAACUGAAUUUUAUGAC